rnacentral:misc_RNA from 1 species
AUCCGUUCAUCUGUGAUGUUCGCGUUGGCCAAGGCUUUUCUCAGCAAGCUGUAUCCUUCUUCUAGCUCCAAAACCAUAUCAGUAGACAAACGAGAAGGUUGAAGUAUGUCAAGAAGGUCAGAAGAUAUAGCUCCAGAUAUGACCAUACAAGCCAAUCGCUUCACCAAAAGAGGAUAUUUUAAGCCACGCUCCCUGCAAUAAUUGUCGUAGUCUG